GAGAGAGAGAGAGAGAAACAGAGAGAGAGGGAGGCAGAAAAGAGCUGUGACAGGAAGUGGGUGUAGUCAGGACCGUCCAGCUGAGUGUUUGUCAGUGUUUGUUUAAAAAUCCACACUUCAGGACUCAGUCCAGCACUUCCAGCCCGAGACCUUGGAAUGGCGACUGUAUCAGGUCAGGUUGUGGUCCUGAGUCCAUUCGGGGACAGUCCAGUACAGGUAAUGUGUCCCACCUGUCACCACACUGGACUCACUAAUGUGGAGCAUUCA